UACGAAGGGUGCAAACGUUGCUCGGAAUUAUUGGGCGUAAAGCGCACGUAGGCGGCCUCGCAAGUCGGGUGUGAAAUCUUAUGGCUUAACCAUAAAAGUGCAUCCGAAACUGCAGUGCUUGAGUACUUAAGAGGAUCGCGGAAUUCCCGGUGUAGAGGUGAAAUUCGUAGAUAUCGGGAGGAACACCAGUGGCGAAGGCGGCGAUCUGGGAAGAUACUGACGCUGAGGUGCGAAAGCGUGGGGAGCAAACAGG
rnacentral:rRNA from 1 species